UUACACAUAGUAACAGGUAAAAGGAGGCAACAGUUACAGGCUUUGCUAUCUGUGUAACUAAUAGAUGGUCAAUGACCAAGACUUGGAAAGAAGUGAUGUAACUGUUACCAUUUUCUUUUUUUCUGUUACCAUCCAUUCU